CGCGGGACCCGAGCUCUGGGGGAGUAAAUCAUCCCCACUUUAAACGCACCUUCUGCCAGGGCUCCAGUUGGGAGCGCCUUGCCAUUGCUAAACACAUCCUAGGGACUCCUGCCCCUCUCAGCAUGCCUGGAUCCCUMAGAUCGGUGGGGUUUCGAGACUUCCUCCCUCCUUUUGCCCUGCACGAGAGUGCUUUGCUGGGUGCGCAAGUGUGCGUGCGAGGAGCGGAGAGGAGCGCCGGSAGGGAGAUUGGGACAAUAGCUGGAGCGGAUUAUUCAUUCCCGUAGGCAAUACUUCCCUGUAUGGGCUUCAGGAUGCAGUUGGGAGCUUGGGAACAAAGCGGGCAUCGAAUGUCAAGGCUCCUUUUGAGGAAGCAGUGGUUCUGCUGGAACCCCAUGCCUGGACUUUGGAGGGCAUGGUGCAGUGGCCUGAAAGCACUGUCCCUGCAGGUGGAAACCAUGCUCAGUAUCAUGCGCCUUGCAAGAAACACAGCGAGGGGACACUUGGAGUAACCCAGCAUCUGGCAUCGGGCACAGCACUCCACUUCCACACUACUGCGAGGGAAAGUUURCUCCCAAACCACAUACUUUGUGGUGUUCAGUGCUUGUGUCAAACUGGUUUGAGCUGUCCCAAGUCUAAAAUAAAGAUCUCCAUUGUGGUAUGCCAGUGAGCUUGUCUUGCUAAACCUUCCCCAUUUAUGCUGAAAGUACAGAGCUGAUGUAAUGCUGUCUUUUCACCCACGGAUGGGUGCAAUAGGAACAAUUCAGAAAAGUUCURUUUAGCUUUUUUUCCCCUUGUAGUUGAAGAAAAGCAAGCUAUCAGAAACAAGCCUAUGUUUGAAGGUACAGUUUGCAACAUGUGAGYGGGAAACAUAUGUACUGGCACUAUUCAACAGCUCUGUAAGGGCUGUGCUCAAAUUUUGGCUUUUAAUCUCAACUCUGUUAGAGAGAGAUGCAAAAUGGAAUGGAACCUGAUUAUUUAUGCUAUAGCCUUGUGAUGCUCAUCCUAUAACUGUUGGGGAGAGAAGCAAAACACUCUGCUAAAGCUUAGGGUGAGCCUGAGUUUCAGGGGGACUCUAGUCUUCACAGGUUCUCACUUCACUGCCUUCCUUCCCUUAGUAUUUG